rnacentral:tRNA from 1 species
GGUGGGAUGCAGGAGUGGUUUAUCUGCCAGGUCUCGAAAACCUUGGGGGCGUUUUUUCGUCCACGAGAGUUCGAAUCUCUCUCCCACCG